rnacentral:rRNA from 1 species
UCGAGAAUUUUUCUCAAUGGGCGAAAGCCUGAAGGAGCGACGCCGCGUGGGGGAUGAAUGGCUUCGGCCCGUAAACCCCUGUCAUUUGCGAACAAAUUAAUCCAACUAACAAGCCGAUUAUUGAUUGUAGCGAAAGAGGAAGGGACGGCUAACUCUGUGCCAGCAGCCGCGGUAAUACAGAGGUCCCAAGCGUUGUUCGGAUUCACUGGGCGUAAAGGGUGCGUAGGCGGUUUGAUAAGUCUGAUGUGAAAUCCCGCAGCUUAACUGCGGAACUGCAUUGGAAACUAUUUAACUAGAGGAAUGGAGGGGAGACUGGAAUACUUGGUGUAGCAGUGAAAUGCGUAGAUAUCAAGUGGAACACCAGUGGCGAAGGCGAGUCUCUGGACAUUUCCUGACGCUGAGGCACGAAAGCCAGGGGAGCAAACGGGAUUAGAUACCCGCGUAGUCC